UGGGGAAUAUUGCACAAUGGGCGCAAGCCUGAUGCAGCGACGCCGNGUGCGGGAUGGAGGCCUUCGGGUUGUAAACCGCUUUUGUUCAAGGGGCAAGGCACGU
rnacentral:rRNA from 1 species